UGCUAGGAUUACAGGCGUGAGCCACCGCGCCCGGCCUAAAGUUGUCUUUUGAGGGUGAAAAGAUAGUUGUAAACAUUUAUUUUGCUUGGGAUGUAUGUUCCUUUUCACAUAUGGGAAAACCUUAAGCACUUCAGACCUUGAUGAAAGGCCUGUUACUUGGAGCCAAGGUAUUGGUGAAAUAUUGGCCAAAAAGUUUGUAAUUGCAUUAAUCAGAGACAUAGGACUAAUUCUAGUCUGAAUAACAAUCUUAUGUAUAUAAAAUUGUUCUACCCAUCUGGUUUUUCCAGUCAGAAAAGCCACGAGGUUUUGCUCGGGGUUUGGAGCCGGAGCGGAUUAUUGGAGCUACAGACUCCAGUGGAGAGCUCAUGUUUCUGAUGAAAUGGAAAAAUUCUGAUGAGGCUGACCUGGUCCCUGCCAAGGAAGCCAAUGUCAAGUGCCCACAGGUUGUCAUAUCCUUCUAUGAGGAAAGGCUGACGUGGCAUUCCUACCCCUCGGAGGAUGAUGACAAAAAAGAUGACAAGAAUUAACUCUCCUGAGUACCAGCCCCUGUCACAUCUGACUGUGGGUUUCAAGUGGGGAGGGAAGGAGUUUUACUUGUCUUGACACCAUAGAGGUGGCUUGAGAAGAUGUCCUUUGAAGAGCCAGUAUAGUUUCUGUGCCCUGCAGCAGCCCAAAGUGCUUUAACGCCGUUCAAGCUGUAUAGUUUGCACACCAUCCCAGUGGAGAGGAAGGGGGAUAAGUGUUUCAAGGCAGCCCAUUCUGCACUUUGUUGAGAAAAGCAAAGGGCCUUCUAUGAAGGACAAAACUUGUAGAAUUGGGUGUGUGGGAGAACAAAAAGAUACUGUAGAUCUUCAAAGAGCAUCUCCACAACCCACAGCCUUCUUCCCAAUAGUGUUAACUCUGCAUUUUUACAGCGUAGCAUGUGUGUAGUUUUUGGCUAUUACUGGUGUAUUAUUUGGGGGUGGGAGGGAUGGGAUGGGAAAGAAGGGAGAUAAGUAGGAUCAUUUUGGUUAAAAUUUAGGGCCUGAUUGGGGAAAUGGUGAAAUAAUGGAAAGAACAGACAACUAAUGAUUUGCUUCUAUGUCCAUAAUAUUUUACCUUUUCAAAAAAUGUCAUUGACACCACGAAUGAGGACUGUGAGAGACUGUUUAAAAGCUGUGAAUGCCUGAAACCUAUAAGCCAAGGUGUUCCCUGCCUGAGCUUAAUACUGUUCCCCACAAAGUACUAAGCCAGCUCAUAAGUUACCAAAGCUGCCAUUUUGGAGAUGGAAACUGAUUAAGGGGAAAUCUUGUAUUGGAGAGUAUACAUCGGCAGAUCAUUCUGUCCUAGAGGUGCUAAUUCCUGAAAUUAAACAAGACGACCCUUUCUUUUCCAGGUAUGAAGUUAUAAAUAGCUUGUUCAUCCAAGCCACUGGCUGAGGUGUUGGGGAAGAGGGUGGUACAGGAGAUGGAAGAGUGAGCAGGGAAGAUGAGGGCCCAUGCUCUUAGGGCAGAGAACUCUUGGAGCCUCUCUGUUGUGGUUUUUUUUUCUCUUUCUUUCUUUGAACUUUGGAGAUGGGAGAGUAGGGAAGACAAGGUCCCAUGCUCUUAGGGCAGAGAACUCUUGGAGCCUCUCUGGUUUUUGUUGUUGUUUGAACUUUGAACCCUAAAACCAUUGGAUAGUAGGGUUCAGUCACUGACAGCACAAGUUUCAUUGAAUCAGUUCAAGAGUUGAAUGAUUUCAAAAGCCCUGGUCUCAGGAGAAGAUUAAACUUUCAUACUGGGGCAGUGGUUCACUGUAAAACACAACAAACAAAAAACAUUUUUUAAAAAAUCCUAAGAAUUAAAUGAUACCCCAAAUGCUCUGUCUUUGAAUCACAAAAUCCAUCAAUUCUUGACAUCAUCUAGAAUUGCAACUAGAGCUACAUUGUAAAAUCUUUUUAGGCAUGUGCUAGAUUUCUGUGAAAACUUUGUUUAAAUGUAAACUUCAUACCACACUGUCAGUUUUUGUCUUAAUAAAACUAUAGAUUUAUAAUCCCCGA